ACGUAACCCAGUCACGCCUGCGCAGCUUUGCGCGCUCUCAACCCCAACGGGGACGAGACGAGGCUUCCUCCACAUUCAGAGCAAGAGCAAGAACCAGGAAGUGAAAGUACACAUGGAGGGUGUGUCUUUCUCUCCCAGUGAACGUUGUAUUUUUAAAAACACAGUCCUCCUCCGAUAAAUAAUGGGGGACUCGGCUAGGGCCAAGCGGCGGGAGCAGCUAAAGCGCUGGGACGGCUCCUGCACCGACAAAGCGUCGGCUGUGGCCAGGCGGAGGUGGCGGGGCGAUGUCGAGAACGGAUCAGGGGAGCCGGAGGCCGAGCUCAGCGACUCGUCGAGGGACCAGUUAGUGUCUGGCAGCAGGGAUGAAACCAGCCCCCUCCUCAAACGACGGAAAAGGGUGAGGUUUGACAGGGCUGCAGAGUUCCUGGCUGCAUGUGCCAGUGGGGACACAGACGAGGCCCAACUGAUGCUAAAGGAGGCCAAAGAGACCAAAUGGAGGAACGGGGAGGAUGUGGCAGAGAUUGUCAACUGCUCCAACGCAGAUGGAAUAACUGCUCUCCACCAGGCCUGCAUAGAUGGCAGCAUGGAGAUAGUGACCUUCCUUUUGGAACAUAAUGCCAAUGUGAAUCAGGUUGACAAUGAGGGAUGGACGCCGCUGCAUGUUGCUGCCUCCUGUGGCUACCCUGACAUUGCAGACUUCCUUUUGCAGCGAGGUGCGUCUCUCUCUGCUGUGAACUGUGACGGUGAUGUUCCUCUGGACAUUGCUUUGGAUGAGACCACUGAGUCCCUUCUUCAGGAUUACACUCUGAGACAGGGUGUGGACUUGGAGGCAGCCAAGCGACUGGAGGAGGAACAAAUGAUGAUAGACGCUCGGACCUGGCUGAGUGAAGGCCUCCCUGCUGAUGUGCAACACCCCAGGAACGGGGCCACCCCACUGCAUGUGGCUGCGGCCAAAGGCUAUCUAGAGGCCCUCAAGAUACUGUGUCAGUGUGGGAUGGACGUGUCAGUGACAGACUUUGAUGGCUGGACGCCUCUCCAUGCGGCAGCACACUGGGGCCAAGGGGAGGCCUGUCGCAUUCUGGCUGAACAGCUGUGCAAUAUGGAGGCCCGCAGCAACGCGGGUCAGACACCAUUUGAUGUAGCUGAUGAAAGCGUUGAGGAGCUCCUGGAGGAGUUAUCACAGAAACAAGCCAAUUGGCGUAAUGAACAGUCCAUAUUGGACAGGCAAAACCAACAAGGCUCCACAGCUGCAACCGCACAAAAUAAACUACGGAGGAGCUCAGUGUGCAGGAUGAGCAGCAAAGACAAGAUGAACGUGCAGGACCAGUCUAAAGAGAGGGGUGUUUCAGGAGGCCUGGAGCUGAGUGAGGAGAAAGAAAGCAGCCCCGAAAGCUGCACUGUGUCCAGCCCAGACACUGAGAGUGGGACUACAUCCACAGUCAGUCCUGCUGACAAGACACCAGAGGAGAGGGAUGAUGAAGAGAAGGAGCAGGACAAGGCACAACGCACUGCCAGAGUCCAGCCCACACCUCAGACAAAGGAUGCCACGCCCGAGAGCCCCAACACCCCCAACGCUGACAGGCGCAAGUUCCAGGCUCCUGUCAGGGACGAAGAGUCUGAGUCUCAGAGGAAAGCUCGCUCUCGGUUGAUGCGGCAGUCACGCCGCUCCACACAGGGUGUGACUCUGACAGACCUGAAAGAAGCAGAGAAGACUGUGGCUAAAGCUGGCGAUCCACCGCCUCGCAACAUCCAGCCCGUCUCCCCCAUUGUCACUGUCACGCCUGCUGAAAGGGACACUGACCCGGUGAAACAGGAGGAGCUGGAAGGAGAGAAGCGCCUGGGAGUUAGGGACAGGAGGAGGGGGAGGAGAGAGAGACGUUCCACUGGUAUCAUUCAGCCGGGUAGUGAGAAUGAAGAUGAAGAUGCUUUGGAUGACACAAACAUUAACAGUACUUCCAAUGAGAGUCAACUGGGAGACUCGUCAGUUGACUACAGAACGCUGUACUUCAAGGUGCUUCAGGAGAAUCUGGCUCUGAAGGACAAGCUGCAGGAGAUGGAGCUGCUGCUCAGCCAAAACAAAGUGGAGCUGGAGCGACUCCGACAGGUUCGGCAGGUUUGCUGCUACAUCUGACCUUUUGAGCGUGUGUGUGUGUGUGUGACAUUAUUAACAGAGGGAUGCUCCAUGGCUUUUGACGUUUGUCUGAGUCAGGUGUUUUGUAUUUCAUUUUGUUUUAUUAAGCAACAGCUGCAAGUUUCUAAACCAGAACAUCCAGAACCAUAAAUGCAAGAUCUCUGUAAAACCAGAAACUUAACUGACAGGUUAUAAGCAUCAAAUUUAAGAAUCUGUGUUCAUUUGUUUUUACUUGAUUGUUGUGUAGCUCUGCAGUUGCU